ensembl:lncRNA
GGUCAGAGGGUGAUACCCUUCCAGCCUUGUAGGUCCUAUAUCCCAGAGGCCUUGAAGCCCUUUCUGUGAAUUUCCUCAGCUUGACAGCUACAAGAGGUGGAGUUGGGCAGAAAUGAAGCCCCAAGUGCGGGAGUGCUGUGGGACCACUGAGCGAGGUUGGUGAUGUUUUCAUAAUGGGUUCUGUAACAAAUCUCUCUACCGUGCCCCUUCUCAAGAGGAAGUUGCUUGUGGUGGGUAGUCCUUGUCUCUCCCUGGAUGCCAGAUGCUCUGCUGAGCCCAAGAUCCACCUCCAGCUCUGCCAGGACCUCUGUGUGACCUCUGGCACAUCACAUCCUCUCUCUGGAAUUCAGUGUCUUCGAAGGUUAGUUUUUUCUGCGAUGGCUGGAUUUGCCUUUCAGAAUAAUAAUCAUUAUUUAUGGAGUGUCAAGCACAUUGAACGAAGAACCCAAUGGUGCCAAAUCUCUCCACCAGCUUUAAGAUUCACCGUCAGGUCCAGGAUGCAAAGAUGUGAUGCUGAGGGGAGGAUCAGAAGGAAGAGGAGAGGACAGGACAGAGAAAAUUCUUAGCCAUGAGGCACCUGGGAAUCUUAGCUCCUGACCAGGGAUGGAACCCAAACCCCCUCACUGGAAGAUGAAGUCUUAACCACUGGACAGCCAGGGAAGCCCCUGUUUCCUCUUUCUAAUUGCCCUCUUUCUGAGCCAAUACUGGAGAAGAGAGUCCUUGGCGCUUGGCCCUCGACCUGCCAUUAUGGAUAAUAGAGCCCUUGAUCUGGACGAGGCUCACAGCUCUCGACACAGGCAAGAGAUACAAUAUUGAAGCUACUUUCAGCCUUUUCUCUUUCCAUGGCAGACAUGUGAUGGCUGCAAAAGACAAGGAAGGUGCGGCCGCCAGGUGCAGAGGCAGGGAGGAGGCCAGGAGGGCAGGGCGAGGCCUGGUGGUGAUUAAGACAUUCUCAAUCAGGAGAGUGAAGCAGAAACGUCAGAGCAGCUCCCAUCUGAAUGGUCUGAAAGGCCACAGCAGCAGCUGACAGGGACUGGUUUGGUGGCAGAGGGAGGUUAGUGGGCCACAGAUCAAUUCCCAGCCGUCCAGGGUGGCAUCUCAGGAUGGCCUUCACCAGGGGAGGGGAGCAACUCUGAACCUCAGCAGGGUGGGAGAGCCAACAGCCCGGGUGCUCUUAACACACUCAGUAGUCCUCCAACUUGAGAGCACUUCAGAAUCACCCGCAGAUCUUGUUUAAAACUCAGAUUCCUGGGCCAUCAGGUGGUUUUGCCCUGCCAACUGUCGUGACCCAAAGCCCUGGAGUUCCUGUGGAUGGAAGCUGGACUCUCCCUUCUGCUCUGUUUACAUCCUAGAAAAGGGCACUGAGCCCACCUUUGGGGGCCCUAACAGGCAUGCCCGCCAGGGCCAGAUUGGUCCCUAACUAACGCUGGGUAGUGGACCCCUCUGCAGGGCAUGUGGGUUGCAGUCAAGCUCCACCCACAGAAGCUCCGUUCUUGCACUGAAAUGGUUGGCCAGGGACUUCCCUGGUGGUCCAGUGGCUAAGAUUCUGUGCUCCCAAUGCAGAGGGCACAGGUUCGAUCCCUGGUCGGGGAACUAGGAUCCCGAAUGCCACAGGGUAGGACCUGAAA